GCAUAUUCCCAAUAGCGGAGGAAAAGAAACCAACAGGGAUUGCCUCAGUAACGGCGAGUGAAGCGGCAAAAGCUCAAAUUUGAAAUCUAGCACCUUCGGUGUUUGAGUUGUAAUUUGAAGAUGGUAACCUUGGGUUUGGCUCUUGUCUAUGUUCCUUGGAACAGGACGUCAUAGAGGGUGAGAAUCCCGUCUGAUGAGAUGCCCAUUCCUAUGUAAGGUGCUAUCGAAGAGUCGAGUUGUUUGGGAAUGCAGCUCUAAGUGGGUGGUAAAUUCCAUCUAAAGCUAAAUAUUGGCGAGAGACCGAUAGCGAACAAGUACAGUGAUGGAAAGAUGAAAAGAACUUUGAAAAGAGAGUGAAAAAGUACGUGAAAUUGUUGAAAGGGAAGGGCAUUAGAUCAGACUUGGUGUUUUACGAUUAUCUUCUCUUCUUGAGUUGUGCACUCGUAUUUCACUGGGCCAGCAUCGAUUCGGAUGGCAAGAUAAUGGCAGUUGAAUGUGGCUUCACUUCGGUGGAGUGUUAUAGCUUCUGCUGAUAUUGCCUGUCUGGAUCGAGGGCUGCGUCUUUUGACUAGGAUGCUGGCGUAAUGAUCUAAUGCCGCCCGUCUUGAAAACCCGGGACCAA
rnacentral:rRNA from 1 species